GGCUUAGGAACUGCUAUGAACCUGACAUAAAUGAACCAUUGAAGAGAAACAGCCCUGCCUUUGCCUAACAAGACAUCUUGAUUCCUGCCUUGGAAAAAACAUACCCGAAGACAUAAGGCCUCUGCUCAAAUACCACCGAAUCAGAAAAGCCUUUCCUGAACACCUGUAAAAAGGUGGCUCUUCAGAAAAUCUUUGCAGAGACCAUUACCCUAGGAAAUCAGAAGCCAGAAAGGAAGUUGCUACAGGAAAAAUAAAAGGAAGUCCUAGCUUGUCUUUCCAAUUUAAAUCAAGGUUCCCAUGAGAUUAAAAAAGGGCAGUGUACAGGCUUGGAGCAUCUCUUCUAGCUGGAUAACAUUAAUCCCGCUGAUGCUGUGCCAGUACAAUCAUACAGUCCAAGGGAUUAGUUUUAAGGAUUAAAUUUUGGAACUUUUAUCCAAAUCAAACUCAAGAAUGCCACCCAGAUUGA